rnacentral:rRNA from 1 species
UACAGAGGUCUCAAGCGUUGUUCGGAUUCAUUGGGCGUAAAGGGUGCGUAGGUGGCGUCGUAAGUCAGGUGUGAAAUUUCGGAGCUUAACUCCGAAACUGCAUUUGAUACUGCGGUGCUUGAGGACUGGAGAGGAGACUGGAAUUUACGGUGUAGCAGUGAAAUGCGUAGGGAUCGUAAGGAAGACCAGUGGCGAAGGCGGGUCUCUGGACAGUUCCUGACACUGAGGCACGAAGGCCAGGGGAGCAAACGGG